rnacentral:rRNA from 1 species
AGUCGAGCGGUGACAUUUCUAGCUUGCUAGAAGAUGACGAGCGGCGGACGGGUGAGUAAUACUUAGGAAUCUACCUAGUAGUGGGGGAUAGCUCGGGGAAACUCGAAUUAAUACCGCAUACGACCUACGGGAGAAAGGGGGCAACUUGUUGCUCUCGCUAUUAGAUGAGCCUAAGUCGGAUUAGCUAGAUGGUGGGGUAAAGGCCUACCAUGGCGACGAUCUGUAGCUGGUCUGAGAGGAUGAUCAGCCACACCGGGACUGAGACACGGCCCGGACUCCUACGGGAGGCAGCAGUGGGGAAUAUUGGACAAUGGGGGAAACCCUGAUCCAGCCAUGCCGCGUGUGUGAAGAAGGCCUUUUGGUUGUAAAGCACUUUAAGCAGUGAAGAAGACUCUUCGGUUAAUACCCGGAGACGAUGACAUUAGCUGCAGAAUAAGCACCGGCUAACUCUGUGCCAGCAGCCGCGGUAAUACAGAGGGUGCAAGCGUUAAUCGGAAUUACUGGGCGUAAAGCGAGCGUAGGUGGCUUGAUAAGUCAGAUGUGAAAUCCCCGGGCUUAACCUGGGAACUGCAUCUGAUACUGUCAGGCUAGAGUAAGUGAGAGGAAGGUAGAAUUCCAGGUGUAGCGGUGAAAUGCGUAGAGAUCUGGAGGAAUACCGAUGGCGAAGGCAGCCUUCUGGCAUCAUACUGACACUGAGGCUCGAAAGCGUGGGUA